GAUGAACGCUGGCGGCGUGCAUAACACAUUCAAGUCGAACGAGGUAGCAAUACCUAGUGGCGGACGGGUGAGUAACGCGUGAGCAACCUGCCCUUGUGUGGGGGAUACCGUCUGGAAACGGACGUUAAUACCGCAUAACGUUACGGAAUCGCAUGGUUCUGUAACCAAAGAUUUAUUGCGCAAGGAUGGGCUCGCGUUGGAUUAACUAGUUGGUGGGGUAAUGGCCUACCAAGGUGACGAUGCGUAGCCGAACUGAGAGGUUGAUCGGCCACAUUGGGACUGAGACACGGCCCAAACUCCUACGGGAGGCAGCAGUUAGGAAUAUUCGUCAAUGGGGGAAACCCUGAACGAGCAAUGCCGCGUGAGUGAUGACGGUCUUUAUGAUUGUAAAACUCUGUUGUAAGGAAUGAAAUCUUAGGAUAGGAAAUGAUCUUAAGUUGACGGUACCUUACCAGAAAGCCCCGGCUAACUACGUG
rnacentral:rRNA from 1 species